GUGCUCACUUUAGCAGCACAUAUACUAAAGUCGGAACAAUACAGAGAAGAUGAGCAUGGCCUCUACGCAGGAUGACACACAAACUCAUGAAGACUUAAAAAAAAAA